GAGAGAUAAAGACUUGGAAUUUUGAAACCAGGCCGAAAUAGUGCGAUGGCAAACACUCGUAUUUAUUAUGAUCAAUUUCUCAUAUUUGCAGCAUGUACCUCUUCAAAAUGGCAAAACUGCCAUUCCCAAAAUUUUGUCUGAUGAUAUCUGUAUGUCGUAGCCGUAGAAAGACGAAGUUCGAAAAUUUCGGCGAAAAAAAAUGCAAAACGUUCAUUUUCAGAUUUGAACCUUUGUAGGAGGACUUCGGGAUUGCGGGCGAGAAGCGAAACUAAUCUCUGCUUUCUGUAGGGUGAGCCGUGAGUUGGGUCGAAAAUUUUCGAGAUUGCCAUGGUUGUAAUCUUCACGAAUAAUUACGGCCAUAGCCCGAGUCGUAGCCGUCGUUAAGCCUUCAACUUUUCACGAGGCUCAGCUCAACAUCCGCUCGACCCAGGCGAACCUCCUCGCUCUCCUCUUCCCACAGGACGAUGACUGCAAUAUGUUUCGUCUGCAAUUUGCCGAUCCUGAGCCACCAGGUCGGUCUGGUCUGGCAGGGAGGCAACGGAUGGGACGACCUCGUCAGGGAACAGCUGGAAGAGUCCACCCUUCGGC